CCUUCUGUGGUGCCGUUGUCUCUGGCGUUCUUUCCUACGUUCUGAUUUACUCUCUCUCACACAUUCUGUCUCCCACCGUCACGCAUCCACUAUCCCUGCUCGACUCGAAGUUGGAUGUCACUAUUGGGCCAUAUGAAACUUAUGAGGAUAUAAGGAUUUGCUUUCUGAAUGUUUAUUGAAGUCCAUGUAUGUUUCGUUUCUUGCUGGAUGCUUCCGGUCUGUACGCUUUGGUUUAAAGGAAGCUCAUGGAAAAGGACAAGCAUUGCAGUUCAACUGGUUAUAUGAGAAAGGUGCCUUUGUCUGGCAUUCUGAAGGCACAAUUUCUGUUGAUUUUACCAAGAUUGAAGGAGCAGUUGAAAGCCUGAGUAGGGAAAUACUCACCAUUCAAGCCAAAGGUGAUAAAGAGGCUGCUGGUUUACUUCUCCAGAAAUACUGUGUAAUGACAGAACCACUGAAAGUUGCUCUCAAAAAGUUGGAAAAUAUUCAGGUAUAAAUAUCUAGAUCACAGUA